rnacentral:rRNA from 1 species
AAAGGGUGCGUAGGCGGCUUGUUAAGUCAGGGGUGAAAGGCGGUAGCUUAACUAUCGGAGUGCCUUUGAUACUGACGAGCUUGAAUGCAGCUGAGGUAGGCGGAAUGUGACAAGUAGCGGUGAAAUGCAUAGAUAUGUCACAGAACACCGAUUGCGAAGGCAGCUUACUAAAGUGUGAUUGACGCUGAGGCACGAAAGCGUGGGGAUCAAACAGGAUUAGAUACCCUAGU